UCCCUGAUGGCCCAGCUGGUUAAGGCGUCCGACUGUUAAUUUGGCAAAUCGGGAGAUCCACAGUUCGAUCCUGUGUCGGGGAG
rfam:Verticillium albo-atrum VaMs.102 supercont1.1 genomic scaffold, whole genome shotgun sequence.